UCGAGAAUCUUCGGCAAUGGGCGCAAGCCUGACCGAGCGACGCCGCGUGCGGGAUGAAGGCCCUUGGGUUGUAAACCGCUGUCAGAGGGGAUGAAAUGCGGGUGGGUUCUCCCAUCCGUUUGACAUAGCCUCAGAGGAAGCACGGGCUAAGUUCGUGCCAGCAGCCGCGGUAAUACGAACUGUGCAAACGUUAUUCGGAAUCACUGGGCUUAAAGGGUGCGUAGGCGGCCAAAUAAGUAGGGUGUGAAAGCCUCCGGCUUAACCGGAGAAUGGCGCUCUAAACUGUUUGGCUGGAGUGAGAUAGGGGUGUGUGGAACUUCCGGUGGAGCGGUGAAAUGUGUUGAUAUCGGAAGGAACGCCGGUGGCGAAAGCGACACACUGGAUCUCAACUGACGCUGAGGCACGAAAGCCAGGGGAGCAAACGGG
rnacentral:rRNA from 1 species